rnacentral:rRNA from 1 species
AGAGUUUGAUCAUGGCUCAGGAUGAACGCUAGCUACGAGGACUUAACACAUGCAAGUCGAGGGGAAACGAUAUUGGAAGCUUGCUUCCGAUAGGCGUCGACCGGCGCACGGGNGAGUAACGCGUAUCCAACCUGCCCACCACUUGGGGAUAACCUUGCGAAAGUAAGACUAAUACCCAAUGAUAUCUCUAGAAGACAUCUGAAAGAGAUUAAAGAUUUAUCGGUGAUGGAUGGGGAUGCGUCUGAUUAGCUUGUUGGCGGGGUAACGGCCCACCAAGGCGACGAUCAGUAGGGGUUCUGAGAGGAAGGUCCCCCACAUUGGAACUGAGACACGGUCCAAACUCCUACGGGAGGCAGCA